GGGUGUGAGGGAGACCUGGCUUCAACACCUGUCACAGCACUGAUUGCCAGCAUUGAUUUAGCUGACCUGGCUGGUGUGCUGGAUGUCGACUUCUCCCCCCAGUGCUCCAUGUGUGUCCCUCCCAAAGCUGCAUGCUUGGUCAAAGAGGGCAACCAGUCCAGACAGAGGAGGGCUGUUUUCUGGGUCACAGGGACACGAGCAGCUGGUCUCCCCUACUAGAACCUCCAAACAAGCUCUCAAGUCUUUUGUACUCUUUCCCAGCUUCCUAUGGUCUUUUAUUUCAUGCUUUGUGUAUUUUGGGUUUUCAACCCUGCAAUAUUUAGGCACCCAUAUAUGAUUCACUUCAUUCAUCAUGAUGGACCGAAGAUGCAUCUGUUU
ensembl:misc_RNA 7SK 7SK RNA